rnacentral:rRNA from 1 species
CCUACGGGAGGCAGCAGUGGGGAAUAUUGGACAAUGGGGGAAACCCUGAUCCAGCAAUGCCGCGUGUGUGAAGAAGGCCUGCGGGUUGUAAAGCACUUUCGGCAGGGAAGAAAAGCAGCGGACGAAUAAUCCGUUGUCUUGACGUUACCUGCAUAAGAAGCACCGGCUAACUCCGUGCCAGCAGCCGCGGUAAU